UACGAAGGGGGCUAGCGUUGCUCGGAAUUACGGGGCGUAAAGCGCACGUAGGCGGUUUCUUAAGUCGGUGGUGAAAUCCUGGAGCUCAACUCCAGAACUGCCUUCGAUACUGGGAAACUUGAGUCCGGGAGAGGUGAGUGGAACUGCGAGUGUAGAGGUGAAAUUCGUAGAUAUUCGCAAGAACACCAGUGGCGAAGGCGGCUCACUGGCCCGGUACUGACGCUGAGGUGCGAAAGCGUGGGGAGCAAACAGG
rnacentral:rRNA from 1 species